CAUGAAUGUUUAUUAAAAACAGUUGGUUAUGGAAAACACCACCGGCUUGGAUGAUUCAAACUUGUCUGGAUUUUUCAGUGGGUCUCUGGCAAAAGAAGACAAUAUGGAAAAAUCCCUUCAAACAGACCAUGAUAUUAAAGCUCUUCUUCUCAUACAAAACUUACAUCCAUUAUUUGAUUUACC